rnacentral:tRNA from 1 species
GCCGCCAUCGUAUAGUGGUAGUAUCGGGGCCUGUGGAGCCCUGGGCAGGGGUUCGAUUCCCCUUGGCGGCC